GCGGGCUUGGCAUAGUGGCCGUGCGUCAGCCUUCCAAGCUGGAUACGCGAGUUCGAUCCUCGCAGUCCGCUCCA
rnacentral:tRNA from 1 species